rnacentral:pre_miRNA from 1 species
GCGCCACCACCGCGUCGUGACGUAGGAGAGUUGAGUUCGUGUAUACACGAACUCAUCUCUGUGACGUCACGGCGCGGUGGUGGCGC